rnacentral:rRNA from 1 species
AGGACGAACGCUGGCGGCGUGCUUAACACAUGCAAGUCGAGCGGUAAGGCCCUUUCGGGGGUACACGAGCGGCGAACGGGUGAGUAACACGUGAGCAAUCUGCCCUUCACUUCGGGAUAAGCCUCGGAAACGGGGUCUAAUACCGGAUAUGACUGCGCCAUGCAUGUGGUGUGGUGGAAAGUUCUGGCGGUGAGGGAUGAGCUCGCGGCCUAUCAGCUUGUUGGUGGGGUAAUGGCCUACCAAGGCUUCGACGGGUAGCCGGCCUGAGAGGGUGACCGGCCACGACGUGGGACUGAGACGACGGCCCCAGACCUCCGUACGGGAGGCGAGACGAGUGGGGAAUAGUUAGGGACAAGUGGGCGGAAGCCUAGAUCCAGCAACGUCCGCGUGAGGAUGACGGCCGUUCGGUUAGUAACCGUC